CAGUACUGGGAUGGCAGCAAGGUCUGUGAUGAGGAAAAACACAGUUAACUCUGAGAGUAGGAAAAAGUAAAUGACAAAUGAUUUGAAAACAACACUACACAACAAGCACUGCAUGAAGAGGAAAAGCACAGAGGCUUCCUGGAAUUUCUGGAGCACUGUUGGGAUCUCCAGGUUUCGCCGUCUCCUGAACCAUUUCUCCACCAAAUGGACGGUGCAGUUGCACUUUUUGGCAAGGCCUUUGAUCUCUGACUGCAAGAAAUGGAACAGUGUUAACAACA